rnacentral:rRNA from 1 species
CCUACGGGUGGCAGCAGUGAGGAAUAUUGGUCAAUGGGCGCGAGCCUGAACCAGCCAAGUCGCGUGAGGGAAGACGGUCCUAUGGAUUGUAAACCUCUUUUGUCGGGGAGCAAAAGACGCCACGCGUGGCGUUCCGAGAGUACCCGAAGAAAAAGCAUCGGCUAACUCCGUGCCAGCAGCCGCGGUAAUACGUAGGGGGCAAGCGUUGUCCGGAAUGUCUGGGCGUAAAGGGAGUGUAGGCGGCCUUGUAAGUUAUAUGUGAAAGCCGACGGCUUAACCGAGGAACUGCAUAUAAAACUGGAGGGCUGGAGUGCAAGAGAGGUAAGCGGAAUUUCUAGUGUAGCGGUGGAAUGCGUAGAUAUUAGGAAGAACACCGGAGGCGAAGGCGGCUUACUGGACUGUAACUGACGCUGAGGCACGAAAGCGUGGGGAGCGAACAGGAUUAGAUACCCUGGUAGUC